GUUGUCGUUUGUUUGUGUGUUACAUAGUCGCUUUUUGUAUAAUUUUUGGUACAUAACUAAGGCCGUUGGUUUUCUCGUUUGAAUUGUUUUAUAUUGUCAUUUCGGGGCUUUUUAUAGCUGAUGAUAGGGUAUUGGCUUUGCUCAUUGUUGAUGGCCAUAUGGUGACUUGUAGUUGUUAAUUUUUGUGUCAUUUUGGUCUCUUGUGGAGAAUUGUCUCAUUGGCAAUCAU
rnacentral:lncRNA from 1 species